rnacentral:rRNA from 1 species
GAUGAACGCUGGCGGCGUGCCUAAUACAUGCAAGUCGAGCGAACAGACGAGGAGCUUGCUCCUCUGACGUUAGCGGCGGACGGGUGAGUAACACGUGGAUAACCUACCUAUAAGACUGGGAUAACUUCGGGAAACCGGAGCUAAUACCGGAUAAUAUAUUGAACCGCAUGGUUCAAUAGUGAAAGACGGUUUUGCUGUCACUUAUAGAUGGAUCCGCGCCGCAUUAGCUAGUUGGUAAGGUAACGGCUUACCAAGGCAACGAUGCGUAGCCGACCUGAGAGGGUGAUCGACCACACUGGAGCUGAGACACGGUCCAGACACCUACGGGAGGCAGCAGUAGGGAAUCUUCCGCAAUGGGCGAAAGCUUGACGGAGCAACGCCGCGUGAGUGAUGAAGGUCUUCGGAUCGUAAAACUCUGUUAUUAGGGAAGAACAAAUGUGUAAGUAACUAUGCACGUCUUGACGGUACCUAAUCAGAAAGCCACGGCUAACUACGUG